rnacentral:lncRNA from 1 species
CUCCCGUUCCAGUCGCCUAAAACUCCGCAAUCAGGCGCAUGUUCCACUCCUUCUAAAACUGAAGCUUUUUGGAAGCUUUUUCAGGCAUCACUCUUUAUUUUAAUUAUUUACCUGAAUGCAUUUUAUCUCACGCGCGUGUUUAUGUUGUUGUCGUCUCUCACAUGACACUGCUCUCUGUUUGUAGGCUACAGUGGGACGCACUGUAAUAUUUAUUCAUUUUGAUCCCUGGACUAGAGCACGAUUUAACGAGUUCCAAGCCUUCCAUCUAACUCCGUGACGGGCUUUAAAGCAUCAGGCUUGGCAUCCAUCCCCUAAGCCCCUUCUCAGCUCCUGUCUACCUCUCUGCUGGGGUGUUGGUGCCUGGGCUUUAACCAUCAGACCUAACCUGUGUGGCUUCCUGUCCGUCCACAGAGGGACACAAUCCUCUACUUUGAAUUCAAGGGGCCUGAAGACAACACAGCCUCACGCAGGCUCAGCAACACACAGGUUACCACCCCAACAGGACACACCACGCCACCCGGCGGGCUGAGUUGUCACGCACGACACGUGUGUGUGUGUGUGUGUGUGUG